AAUAAAUGUAAUAAACAGUAAUUGAUUUUAAUGUUUUUUCAAAUUUAAGAUGAAAAAAUUGAUGCAUAUCUAAACAUUAUAGUGCACUUGCUAAACAUCAUAUAUUAUGAUUUUAUUAAGCUGAUGAUUUUUUGCACAAUGUUUGCUAAAAGUAGAAAGCUUUAUUUCAUAAAGAUCUUUUAUUCAUUAUAUAAAAUUUAUGAAAAUUAAUUUGGUAGUUGGAAUGCUGCAGUUUGCAAAGUAUAGAUUAAGUAGUAUUAUAUUUUAUCAUAUAUUUGCAGUACAAAAAUUAAUUUGCUGCCUUUAGUUCAUUUCAAUUUGUUAUUAGUAGUUGAAUGAUGAUUGCACCAGAUAAUAGUGUAAGGAGCAAAGCAGAUUUGACUUUGUUCAUUUGCAGAUUUCUUAUUUCUUUUAUUUAGGCGAUACUAUUCAGAUCGUGGUUCAGAAAUAAUCCAUCAUUACAUUCCAUAUACAGAUGCAUAUUAUAGUCAGGAAGGAAUUCAGCCUCCUACACAAGAGACUUAUGGUGUUGGCUACCAGCCAACUGCCACACCCACCAAUGGUCACCAUGGAGAUGGCAACAUCUCUCCUACAUCUUCCCAGUUGUCAGUGCCAGGCGAAAAUGCCACAUUGAUCAAUCGCACCACCCCACAGCCAAAAACACAGCAGCCAAUGAAGACAGUUCCAAAAAUUAUUCCACCUCGCCAUAUUGGCCCCGAAGGACAAGCUGUUGAAUAUCCUCCUUAUAGUGCUGCUCCACCUUUACCACCUUCCACAAGCAGUGGAUAUGGUACUUAUGGUUACACUGUUCCUGCAAAUGUUCCACAUGACUACAAUACUUAUAAUUCAGGUGUAGGAGGACAACCCCCACCUCCUCCUCCUCAAGGAAUCUAUCCACCAGAUUAUAGUACAUAUGGUAGAACAACUUCACCUAGUGCAAGACCAAACUUUGAAGUUUAUCCUCCAAGAAUAGGACAAACUUUUCCUGAUUAUGAUUAUCAUGGUUAUCCAGCACAACCUCCAUCACCACCCUCAGCAUCAUCAGAAUCUCCCCAACCACGUCGAGCUAUGCCACAAGUACCUAGGAGUGGAGAAACAGAAUACAAUCAUCGGCCAGCUGGUUAUGAUGAAUUAGAUCCAACUCUUGUCCCAUCUAGGCCUGAAUAUCAAGAAAGGUUUCCAAGUACUCCUUCUCCUGGUCCUGUUUCUGAUAGAUUUGGUCCCUAUGGAUAUUCUGGUACUCAGAUUCCUGCAACUUCUCCUGGUUAUGCUCCAUAUGAAGCUCCACCACCUCAGGGGUAUCUAGAUCGCCGCCCAAGUUAUGAUGAUCAUCCACAAAGUCAAGUACCUCAUAUUAGACCUCCCACAUCUUACACCCAUCCUUCAAGAGUUGCUGAAGAAAAUGCUGGCUUGCCACUUCCAUCAAUGGACAGACAGUAUCCUCCACCACCUCGGCAUCCUCAUUUAGAAAAUGAAAGUAUUGAUGGAGAAGGAAGAGAUGUAAGGUGGAGAGAUCCAGAUUUACAUGAGGUAAUAGAGUUCCUAGGCCAUCCAAAUAAUGUUGUUCGGGCAAAUGCUGCAGCAUAUCUCCAGCAUUUAUGUUAUAUGGAUGAUAAUAUUAAACAAAAAACUAGAGUCCUUGGAGGCAUUCCACAAUUAGUUGAUUUGCUCAAUCAAGAAAUACCUGAAAUUCAAAGAAAUGCAUGUGGAGCUCUUAGAAACUUGUCUUUUGGGCGACAGAACGAAGAAAAUAAGAGAGCAAUACGUAAUGCUGGAGGCAUUCCUACACUUGUCCAACUUCUCAGGAAAACACCUGAUAAUGAAAUAAGAGAGUUAGUAACUGGAAUUUUAUGGAAUUUAUCAUCAUCAGAGGAACUCAAAAAGCCCAUAAUUGAUGAUGCUCUCACGGUAUUAGUUAAUCACGUCAUAAUUCCUCAUUCUGGGUGGGAUCGUAACAGAGAUCCUUCAGAUCAAAUCAAAACACAAGAAAUUUAUUGGUCAACUGUAUUUAGAAAUGCUAGUGGAGUUUUGAGGAAUGUAAGUUCUGCUGGUGAAUAUGCACGUAAAAAAUUAAGAGAAUGUGAAGGUCUUGUAGAUUCUUUACUUCAUAUUGUUCGUGCUGCUAUAGGCAAAAAUGAUAUGGAUAAUAAAAGUGUAGAAAAUUGUGUUUGUAUACUAAGAAAUUUAUCAUACCGAUGUCAAGAAGUAGAAGAUCCAGAUUAUGACAAACACAUUAUAUCACCUCCACAAACUCGUGCAAUGGUGCCAAUUAAUAAAGUGUUUUCACCGAAUAUUAUUUCUAAAAUACAAGUGGGAGAAAAUUUAGGUUGUUUUGGCACAAGUAAGAAGAAAAAAGAAGCUCAAAGUGCAGAGAAGCAAAAGAGAGAUGGUAUUGUCACAAGUGGAAGUUCUAGACCAAGAUCAGAACCAGUGAAAGGAAUGGAUUUAUUAUGGCAGCCAGAAGUUGUUCAACCUUAUUUAGCCUUAUUAUCAGAAUGUUCUAAUCCUGAAACGUUAGAAGCUGCUGCUGGAGGUAUUCAGAAUUUAGCUGCUUGUUAUUGGCAGCCUAGUAUUGAUAUAAGAGCAGCAGUAAGAAAAGAGAAAGGAUUGCCUAUAUUAGUAGAAUUAUUAAGAAUGGAAGUUGAUAGAGUUGUUUGUGCUGUAGCUACUGCAUUAAGAAAUUUAGCAAUGGAUCAACGCAAUAAAGAACUUAUAGGCAAAUAUGCUAUUAGGGAUCUUGUACAAAAACUUCCUCCAGGAAACCCACAACAUGAUGCUGGAACUUCUGAUGAUACAAUUGCAGCUGUACUUGCCACUUUAAAUGAAGUCAUUGUUAAAAAUAGUGAUUUUUCACGUUCCUUAUUGGAAUGGGGAGGUGUCGAACGAUUAACUUACAUUACUAAACAGAAAGGAAAAUUUUCUUCCAGAGUAGUGAAAUUUACCUCUCAGCUUUUGUUUAAUAUGUGGCAACAUCAAGAACUUAGGGAAGUUUAUAAAAAAGCAGGAUGGAAAGAGGGUCAUUUUAUUACUAGAACAAUGAUUGCUCGAAUUACGGCUUCUCCUCCUGCAAGUGCCAACAAUACACUAAGUCGACCAAUUAGUACUCAAGGUGGAACAAAUUACGAGGACAGAACAUUAUCUAGAGGAAGGGAAUUAAAUACUGUUGCUCCAGGACAAGUUCCAUACAGUCGUUCUGAAGAACUUGCUAUGAAUGAUCUCGCUCACAUGCCAGAACCACCACAGUCUCAAACACAACCACAACUACAGCCACCGCAACCACAACCACAACCACAGCCACAAUCACAACCUCAAAUGCAAUCUCAAACUAUUAAACCACCUGUAGGUGGUGUUCCAAUUUUUCCUCCCACAUUGCCACCACCUCAGGGUUUCUAGCCUGUAGUCCAACAAAUGGCCUGAUGGGUGGGUGUCAAUAGUACAGAAAUGAAUUAUUCUGUAUAUUUUGAUAGGAUAGACUCGUGAUUAUAAAUAGAUAAGUUCAUCCUCAUCACGAACCCCUCUAUGCCCAGGUGAAUCGAGAUAAAAAGAAACGUCAUCCUGACAUGUCUUCCCAGCCUUUGUUACUCGAUCAUCAAGUGGAUGCCCAAGGUGGUGAUUCCUGGGUCUG
rnacentral:misc_RNA from 1 species